UACGGGGGGGUAAGCGUUGUUCGGAAUUACUGGGCGUAAAGGGCUCGUAGGCGGCCAACUAAGUCAGACGUGAAAUCCCCGGGCUCAACCUGGGAACUGCAUCUGUGACUGCAUAGCUAGAGUACGGUAGAGGGGGAUGGAAUUCCGCGUGUAGCAGUGAAAUGCGUAGAUAUGCGGAGGAACACCGAUGGCGAAGGCAAUCCCCUGGACCUGUACUGACGCUCAUGCACGAAAGCGUGGGGAGCAAACAGG
rnacentral:rRNA from 1 species